rnacentral:rRNA from 1 species
CGGACGGGUGAGUAACACGUGGAUAACCUACCUAUAAGACUGGGAUAACUUCGGGAAACCGGAGCUAAUACCGGAUAAUAUUUUGAACCGCAUGGUUCAAAAGUGAAAGACGGUCUUGCUGUCGCUUAUAGACGGAUCCGCGCUGCAUUAGCUAGUUGGUAAGGUAACGGCUUACCAAGGCAACGAUGCAUAGCCGACCUGAGAGGGUGAUCUGCCACACUGGAACUGAGACACGGUCCAG